AUUGAACGCUGGCGGCAGGCCUAACACAUGCAAGUCGAGCGGAUGAAGGGAGCUUGCUCCUGGAUUCAGCGGCGGACGGGUGAGUAAUGCCUAGGAAUCUGCGUGGUAGUGGGGGAUAACGUCCGGAAACGGGCGCUAAUACGGCAUAAGUCCUGAGGGAGAAAGUGGGGGAUCUUCGGACCUUACGCUAUCAGAUGAGCCUAGGUCGGAUUAGCUAGUUGGUGGGGUAAAGGCCUACCAAGGCGACGAUCCGUAACUGGUCUGAGAGGAUGAUCAGUCACACUGGAACUGAGACACGGUCCAGACUCCUACGGGAGGCAGCAGUGGGGAAUAUUGGACAAUGGGCGCAAGCCUGAUCCAGCCAUGCCGCGUGUGUGAAGAAGGUCUUCGGAUUGUAAAGCACUUUAAGUUGGGAGGAAGAGCAGUAAGUUAAUACCUUGCUGUUUUGACGUUACCAACACAAUAAGCACCGGCUAACUUCGUG
rnacentral:rRNA from 1 species